CGCGAGCUGGGUUUAGAACGUCGUGAGACAGUUCGGUCCCUAUCUGCCGUGGGCGUUGGAAGAUUGAAGGGGGCUGCUCCUAGUACGAGAGGACCGGAGUGGACGAACCUCUGGUGUUCGGGUUGUGUCGCCAGACGCAUUGCCCGGUAGCUAAGUUCGGAAUUGAUAAGCGCUGAAAGCAUCUAAGCGCGAAGCGAGCUGAUAGGCAGGGUGUGUAAGCGUUGUGAGGCGUUGAGCUAACCUGUACUAAUUGCCCGUGAGGCUUAACCAUACA
rnacentral:rRNA from 1 species